CUGUCUCUCACCCCGUCUGCCUGUCUCUCACCCCGUCUGCCUGUCUCUCACCCCGUCUGCCUGUCUGUCUCACCCUGGAUGUUUGUCUGAAUUGACGCCCUAUCCAAUGUAGUGCACUGGGUGUUGGGUGAGAUGUCAAGCUGACCGUGCUGACAGACGGUAUCCUGUACAGCCCUAUCCGAUGUAGUGCACUAGGUGUUGGGUGAGAUGUCAAGCUGACCGUGCUGACAGACGGUAUCCUGUACAGCCCUAUCCGAUGUAGUGCACUAGGUGUUGGGUGAGAUGUCAAGCUGACCGUGCUGACAGACGGUAUCCUGUACAGGCUCUUCUCUACCAUUCCUUUUCCUCUUCCUCAUUUUACCUGUUUUUAAAUGUCUUUUUUUUUCUCUCCAACAUUAUGCCUCCUUCCUCUUGUACAAACUUUCAGAAGGUUUAUUAAAUGUUAAAGAUGUUUUUAAAGUUUGAAUAUUCUUCCACAUUAAUAAAGUCUUGUAAGAGGUU